UACGGAGGGUGCAAGCGUUAUCCGGAUUUACUGGGUUUAAAGGGUGCGUAGGUUGCAAUAUAAGUCAGUGGUGAAAGGUCGUAGCCUAACUACGGAUGUGCCAUUGAUACUGUAUAGCUAGAGUUGACACGAGGUACUUGGAAUGCGUCAUGUAGCGGUGAAAUGCUUAGAGAUGACGUAGAACACCAAUAGCGAAGGCAGAGUACCAGUGUGCGACUGACACUGAGGCACGAAAGUGUGGGGAGCGAACAGG
rnacentral:rRNA from 1 species